GUCACAGUCCUCUUCAAGAAUGAAGGACAAACAACAACUUGGAAGAGGAGAGUCGGAGCCCUCCCAUUACAUUCCAGGGGUCUCCAGCUUCUUCUGGGAGUGGGAAGUGGAGAAGUGAGCACUUUCCCAUCAUUCUCUGUGCAUUUCCUGCCUGGUCAGUGUAAGCAAAGGUAAUUCGCAUACUCAUGAUAUAGAAUCCAAGAAUGUUAGAACUGAAAGAGCCUUCGAGAUCACAUAGCCCAAGCCUCUUAUUUUACAGGGAUGACUCUCCUUUGCCUAUCCACUGCAGAGAGGCUACUUGGCACAGUAAAUGGAGCACUGGGUCUGGAGUCAAGAAGACCCGAGUUCAAACCCAGCCUUAGAUACUUCUGAGCUCUGUGACCCUGGGCUCUUCCAAGAUAAAGAUUCCCUGGGGUCUUGUCUUCAGAAUUGGAUACACUACCAACUGCAAUUGUUGUUGUUUGUCCUUCUUUCUGGAAGAGGAUCUUGACAUCAAGGAGGUGAUGCUGGGCAAGUGCCAUG